AUCGCUUCUCAGGCUUUUGGCUAAGAUCAAGUGAAGUAUCUGUUCUUAUCAGUAAGGACAAUGAGCCACAUGAAGAUCCCAGAUUCCAACUACAGCUACCAUCUAUGUAGCCUGUAUGUGUUACAUUGAAUGUUUCUAGGCAAAAAUAAAUAAAUAACUAUU
ensembl:snRNA U2 U2 spliceosomal RNA